AGUCGUAUGUACCACUGUUCAUUGUUUCGUCAUCGAUGAUGCCAUUUCCAGUCUGAAAUCCAUGCCAUAUGCAUGCAAUUAAGACGCAGACACGAAAUAACUAGUGACUUAAUCAUGAGAAAAGUAAUUUAGUGACCAUUUGAAGCUUAGCUUACUGCUAUUCCUUGCAAGUUAAUGACAAGGUUUGGUUCUGUUUCCUUGUAGGAUAAGAUCAGCUGAGCAAGUUGAGGCACAUAGUGGCCAGCAUAACUCUCUCCAGUAAUAUAGAAAUCUCGGUGUUUAUAUUCUGGGAAUCUUUCCAUCCAAUUGAUGAGAAAGGUGAAACUGUCUUGUCUGGUCUUUUCGUCUCCAGUAGAAUAAUCUGUUGAUGUGUUAGAAUAAGAGAAUCCAACACCAGCAGGUGAUUCUAAAUAGAGGAUGUUUGCCACUGCAUUAAAUUUGCAAAAUUGUUGUCAUUGUUAUUUACAGGUUUGUGAUUUCUCUCAAUUGUGAUGACAGAUUUUGCAGAAGAGAGAGGUAUGAGUACCAUUGUUCCAGGCAAAAGGGUUGAGCAAUAAGGUUUUUCCAUCUUUAUUGACGCGGAAUGGUCCAAGUUCCAUCAUGGCUCCAGCCCCGAAUGAAGAGCAACCAGGUC
rnacentral:lncRNA from 1 species